UCCUAGAAGGUAUCCUGAGGGGCCUUAGU
rnacentral:piRNA from 1 species